CAAAGAAUAGUUAAAUUGAGAAUGCUAGCUUACGGACUAGAGGUGAGAGUUAAAAUCUCUCUUCUUUGA
rnacentral:tRNA from 1 species